rnacentral:rRNA from 1 species
AGCAGUAGCCACGGUAAUACGUAGGGUGCGAGCGUUAAUCGGAAUUACUGGGCGUAAAGCGUGCGUAGGCGGAUCGAUCAGUCAGGGGUGAAAUCCCAGAGCUCAACUCUGGAACUGCCUUUGAUACUGUCGAUCUGGAGUAUGGAAGAGGUGAGUGGAAUUCCGAGUGUAGAGGUGAAAUUCGUAGAUAUUCGGAGGAACACCAGUGGCGAAGGCGGCUCACUGGUCCAUUACUGACGCUGAGGUGCGAAAGCGUGGGGAGCAAACAGGAUUAGAUACCCGUGUAGUCCCUGUCUCUUAUAU